rnacentral:rRNA from 1 species
GGGUGAGUAACGCGUAGGAAUCUGCCUAGUAGAGGGGGACAACAUGUGGAAACGCAUGCUAAUACCGCAUACGCCCUUAGGGGGAAAGGAGGGGAUCACUUGUGACCUUUCGCUAUUAGAUGAGCCUGCGUGAGAUUAGCUAGUUGGUAGGGUAAAGGCCUACCAAAGCGACGAUCUCUAACUGGUCUGAUAGGAGGCCAGAAGCCCUGGGACUGAAACACGGCCCAGACUCCUACGGGAGGCAGCAGUGGGGAAUAUUGGACAAUGGGCGCAAGCCUGAUCCAGCCAUGCCGCGUGUGUGAAGAAGGCCUUAGGGUUGUAAAGCACUUUCAGGAGUGAGGAAGGGCGUUAGGUUAAUACCUUGAUGUCUUGACGUUAGCUCCAGAAGAAGCACCGGCUAACUCUGUGCCAGCAGCCGCGGUAAUACAGAGGGUGCAAGCGUUAAUCGGAAUUACUGGGCGUAAAGCGCGCGUAGGUGGUUUGUUAAUUCUGAUGUGAAAUCCCAUGGUUCAACCUUGGAAUGGUCUCGGAUACUGGCAUGCUUAGUUCGGCAGAAGGGU